GUGUUUGAGACCAGCCUAGGCAACAUGGUGAAACCCCAUCUCUACCAAAAAUACAAAAAUUAGCUGGAGUGCAGUGGCACAUGCCUGUAGUCCCAGCUACUCCAGAGACUGAGUUGGGAGGAUGGUUGGGGCCUAGGAGGCAGAGGUUGCUGUGAGCCAAGAUUGCACCACUGCACUCCAGCCUGGGUGACAGAGGGAGACCCUGUAAAAAAAAAAAUACAGAGAGAGAGAGAAGAAAGAAAGAAAGAAAGAAAGAAAGAAAGAAAGAAAGAAAGAAAGAAAGAAAGAAAGAAAGAAAGAAAGGAAAGAAAGAAAGAAAGAGAAAGAAAGAAAGAAAGAAAGAAAGAAAGAAAGAAAGAAAGAAAGAGAAAGAAAGAAAGAAAGAAAGAAAGAAGAAAGCAAGAAAGAAAAUAUAAAAUUAUAGACCAAUAUGGCUCUUGAAUUGUGAGGGAUCAGGGGUAGAAUGAUAUAGUUUGGAUAUUUGUCCCUGCCAAAUCUCAUGUUGAAUCGUAAUCCCCAAUGUUGGAAGUGGGGCCUGGUGGGAGGUUUUUGCGUCAUGGAGGUGGAGCUUUCAUGGCUUGGUGCUAUCUUUGCAAUAGUUCUUGUGUUCUCAUGAUAUCUGGUCAUUUAGAAGUUUAUGGCACCUCACCCUUGAUCUCUUUCUUGCUCUGUUCUUGUGAUGUGAUGUGUCUGCUCCCCUUCUGCCUUCUGCCAUGAUUAGAAGCUUCCUGAGGCCUCCCCAGAAGCAGAGGCUGCUGUGCUUCCUGUGCAACCUGUAGAGCCCUGAGACAAUUAAACCUCUUUUCUUAUAAAUUGACCAGUGUCAAAUAUUUCUUUAUAGCAGUGCAAGAAUGGCCUAUUACACUGGUAUUUCUGUGGAAGAGAUGUGAAGAUGUGUCUCUUUCUAAUCCAGAGACCAACUUAGAGAAAAAUAUUUAUUUCUCUAUUAAAUUAAAAUAAUUAUUGCCUUCUAUCCACUAUUUGUGUGAAUAUCUGGUAGUUUCUCCUUAUCUUUAAGGCUCAUAAUAUAUAGAAUAGCAGCUUAUAACAUAACAUUCUGAUAGUGUAAAAUUAAACUUUCCAAGCUAUAAAACUACUCACCAGUCAUUUAUAGAGAAGUGACCUUUUCAUUUCAUUUAUUUU
rnacentral:lncRNA from 10 species